UCCCUGGUGGCUCAGAUGGUAAAGCAUCUGCCUACUAUGCUGAAGACCCAGGUUCGAUCCCUGGGUUGGGAA
rnacentral:tRNA from 1 species